UGAACCGCGCUGUGAAGGAGGCCACGAAGAUGGACAGCAUCCCGAAAUCCAGCAGGUUCCACAGCCAGAGGAGCUGAGGCCCGGAGACUUCAGUGGCAGCUGGGAUCUGAACUCAGAUGUGGCUGACUCCAAAGUUCAUGAUCCUAACACUGCUUCAACUUUCACCUCCCUGCUGAUGAUUCCUAGACUCUUAUCUCCAACCUCAACGUGUCUUCUAAGGAGCUGAUUUGAAUAUUCGACUGCCAAGUGGUCACCUACACUGAAACUCGAGUCUUUGAGUACACAAAUGGAAUACAUUCUUAGUAACUAACUGAAAGGAGAAGAGGAAUGCUUCUACUAAGAAGUUCCUCACUAUUCGGGUAACCCUCCAGGAGAAACCUAACUUUUGACUACUCCCAGCUCAGCUCCUGCAUCUGAUAAGGAACUC